UUAUUUGAUUAUAAUAAUUGACAUUUUUUACAGAGUAAGUUUGUGUGAUGCAAGUCCAGGGGCCGAAGCCGAUGGGCCUUGACAGACAGUUCACAGGUGUUAUGGAUGUGAGUCCAGGGCCGAGCACGAGGGCUCGACCCCUACCCUCGGCCUUGCGGCUUUGGGAAAUUUGAUUCACUAAUGAUCCUUCCGCAGGUUCACCUACGGAAA
rnacentral:misc_RNA from 1 species